AACCCCUGGCUAUGGGCAAAGAGACACCUGAUUGCUGGUGGUGCUCUUAUAUCAGUCAGGGGCAAAGCAGACUGGCAACCCUUUGUCCAUCCUAGCUUGAUGCCUGGAUUGUGGCCAGAGCUGUUUCAUGCCUAGGGCACAUAA
rnacentral:snoRNA from 1 species